rnacentral:rRNA from 1 species
GCCUGCAUGAAGUUGGAAUCGCUAGUAAUCGCGGAUCAGCAUGCCGCGGUGAAUACGUUCCCGGGCCUUGUACACACCGCCCGUCACACCAUGAGAGUCGGGAACACCCGAAGUCCGUAGCCUGACCGCAAGGGGGCGCGGCGAAGGUGGGUUCGAUAAUUGGGGUGAAGUCGUAACAAGGUAAC